rnacentral:lncRNA from 1 species
UUCCUGCCAGGGAUCGAACCCACGCGCCACAGCAGCAACCUGAGCCACAGUAGCGACAAUGCUGGAUCCUUAACCCACUGUGCCACCAGGGAACUCUGGGAUCCCCAUGCUUAUGACACUUAUGUUGCUGUGGGAAGAGAGGGAAAAUCAACACGUAAGCAAAGAAAUAAGACUCCAGUGGGAACGAGUGCUAUAAAGAGAAUCUAGCAGCGCCAUGUGGAGAGGGAAGGAGAGCGGAAGAGACAAAAGAGCGCCUUUCUGAAGCGAUGACAUUGGAAUUGAGACUCGAAUAGAGAGCAAGGGAGAAUAGGAUGCCACUGGCCACCACAUGACAUGCUGGCAGGCCCAGAUGGCGCUCACUAGAGACAGAGGAAGGCCGGCCCUGCAGACAGCAGCCCUGCCCCUCCCCACAGCCCCAAGGGCAGCCUGAAAAGGGCCAGAUCCUCCGCUUGGGUCUGGUGCCCAUCCAAACUGCAAACCUGCAGAGCAAAGGGACACCGCCUCCUAACGGUCACCGCCCAAGAUUCCAGACACUUAGCCUGGCCGGUCAGGGGGUACACACCGAGGUUACACUCCCCGUGCGAGCUUGAACCUACCCCUUGCCCGUGCUGAGCCUUGGGUUAGCCAUUCGUGAAAUGGGCCCAAAGGAAAAAAAUAAACACAAACAAAACAAAACAAAACAACAAAACCCCCUGUCCAGGUCACUUCUCCAGGCAGAGCUGCAACUGAAUGGUUACGUGUUAAGGAUCAUCAUUUAGCAUCUGCUCUCUCAUCAGACUAGUUCUUGGGCCAAAUAAAACCAGGCUGGGAAAGAUAGUUGCUGAAUGAAAACUGAACCUAGAUCAGAUCACAGCCUCGGGGCAGCUGGCUUUUGGUAGGGGCAUGAGGAAAAGAUCACAAAACACACAGAGGUUCAGAUUCCAGCUCUGCUCCUUACCUGUGGGGACCGUUUGAGCGUCAGCCUUCUCCUCUGUGGGAUGCUGACAUUAACGUCCAGCUCACAGGUACGCCUGGCCAGGAAGGGGACCAGGACUUGGAUGGGUGAAAUCGACAAUAAUCCCGCACGUCAUUACUUAACCCUGAGCCCUGCCAUUGACCGGAAUGCAAUGAGCCGGGGAUUCUCUCCAAUGGGUUCAGUGUUUUCCAGCUUGACCGAUGGUAACACUCCAUCUAGGACCUCGCAUAUACCUAGAAAAGCUCACUCCCUUUCAUCUUCUUAUCACUCAUCCUCCCAAACCCUCAGAAGGCAGAGGAAAGAGCUUUUAAGCCACGGCACUGAGAGGUGAGGGGCCGAAUCAAGAUGCCAGAACAAGUUGAGGCCACGGUACAAGAACCCAAGUUUCUUAAAUCUGACCAUGUGCCUCAGGGCUCCAAACCGAGAGACAGACACAGACCUAGAGGACAGACUUGUGGUUGCCAAGGGUCGGGGGCAGGGAGGGCAGGGUUGGGAGUCUGGGGUUAGCAGAUGUAAGCUGUUGCACGUAGGAUGAGUAAGUAACAAGGUCCUCCUGUAGAGCACGGGGAACCGGAUUCCAUCAGCUCAGAUUAAUCACCAUGGAAAAGAACAUGAACACAAAGGUAUACACGUGUAUGACGGAGUCACUUUGCUGCUGGAGAAAUUAAUACAACAUUGUAAAUCGACUCUACAUCAGUAAAAUUAAAAAUAAUUGAAAGAAAAAAAAAAAAAAAGAAAGCCAGCAGAGAGAGAGAGAGAGACCUCAGCAGGACAGCAGACCCCAAUGGCAGCUGCUUCCUCCCAGAACAGACCUGGAGUUCUGAUCACAAGCGCCUUCCCAAGCCUGGCACUGCCUCCCCGGCCUCCGGGCCACCCUCCCUCCGGCAGCUCUGCUGGCCAAAGGGAGAGGCGACGCCUGCUGCCGUUAAGAAAGCAAACACGUCUCCGUUUCAAGGCCUCUCGGUUUUCACUCCACGACCUUCGAUGCACUUAAAAUACCGCUCUGCGUUUUGCAGCGGCCUUUAUGUAAGUGGGCGGAGGAGGGCUGUGCUUGCCAGCCUGCCUUUCUGUGUGCCUCUCGCUUCCGCAAGCCUCCUUGGAAGGUCACCUUGCCACAGAAGCCUCCAACGGCUUCUCACCUUUUGCUGGGGGCUGCCUCGAUUUUGAAAAUUUCAUUCAUUUGUUUAAAAAAAUUAACAUGGUUCUGUGUGUUGAUUCAUCGUCUUCAAUCAGCCUUCCCAGGCUGGCUCCCCCGGGGCUGUCCAAAGGCACAGACCUGGGGGAUCCAGACUCGGGGGGGUCGGGGGGGGCUCCCUACCAACCUGAGGGAAGGACGUGCCACAGCAAGGGUCCAGCCAACUCAGUUCAGCUCAGUUUAACAACCACAGUUUGAGGGUUGUUCUUACCAGCCAUGGUCAAGAUCAGCACUGUUCAGUAGAAAUACAAAAGGAGCCACAUACACACAGUAAAAAGUACAAAGAUCCUGGGAGUUCCUGUUGUGGCGCAGCGAGAACGAAUCUGACUAGUACCCGUGAGGAUGCCGGUUCCAUCCCUGGUCUCGCUCAGUGGAUGGGAGAACCUGUGUUGCUGUGAGCUGUGGUGCAGGUCGCAUUCUGCAGCUCCAAUUCCAUCCCUAUCCUGGGAACUUCCAUAUGCUGUGGGUGCAGCCCGAAAGGCAAAAAAAAAAAAAAAAA